rnacentral:guide_RNA from 1 species
AAAUUUUAAAAUACAGUGAGUGAUUUACGUGUAAGAUGUUAAGUGAU